rnacentral:lncRNA from 1 species
GUUUGUAACAGAAGUGGGGAGUGGAUUCUGGAUAUAUUUUGAAGAUAGAGCCAAUAGGAUGGCCAGUGCACUGGAAAUGGGGUGUCAAAGAGCAGAACCAAGAAUAACUCAAAAUGUGUGGCCUGUGCAGCUACAAAUGCCAUUUAUUGAGCUGGAAAAUAUUAUUAUAAUAUCAUGUUCAGUGUCUGGGAAUAGAGAUAGCAAGAGAAUUAGAAGUUUUGUUUUGGAUGAAAGUGUGACCUGCCUAUUAGACAUCCAAGGGGAGAUGUCAAGCAGGCAGGAAGAUAAGUGAGCUGGAAUUCAUGGGUAAAGUCUGGCCUGAAAAUGUACAUUUGAAUAUUUAAGAAUGUAAGACAGAAUGAAAAUACCAAAAGAAGAAGCAUAAAGGAAAGAAGAUGUGUUUGGACUGAGUGCUGAUACUUUGCAAUAUGUAGUAGUCAGGAAGAUAAUGUGGAAACAGAAAAGGAGACAGGAGUGUCAGGUGAUGAUGGUGGGGGGCACUAAUGAGGAGAUGAUGCCUGAAUAGUCAAGUAAAGAAAGAAAAAGGAGGGAGUCUGUCUGUGUCAACUGCUGCAAAUAAAUUUAGGUAAACUGAGGUCUGAUAAUUGAUCAUUGACACUGGAUAAUUGACUUAGUGAUUUUCAAUUAGUGAUGUGCUGAUAAAC